GAUGAACGCUGGCGGCGUGCCUAAUACAUGCAAGUCGAGCGAACAGACGAGGAGCUUGCUCCUCUGACGUUAGCGACGGACGGGUGAGUAACACGUGGAUAACCUACCUAUAAGACUGGGAUAACUUCGGGAAACCGGAGCUAAUACCGGAUAAUAUAUUGAACCGCAUGGUUCAAUAGUGAAAGACGGUUUUGCUGUCACUUAUAGAUGGAUCCGCGCCGCAUUAGCUAGUUGGUAAGGUAACGGCUUACCAAGGCAACGAUGCGUAGCCGACCUGAGAGGGUGAUCGGCCACACUGGAACUGAGACACGGUCCAGACUCCUACGGGAGGCAGCAGUAGGGAAUCUUCCGCAAAGGGCGAAAGCCUGACGGAGCAACGCCGCGUGAGUGAUGAAGGUCUUCGGAUCGUAAAACUCUGUUAUUAGGGAAGAACAAAUGUGUAAGUAACUAUGCACGUCUUGACGGUACCUAAUCAGAAAGCCACGGCUAACUACGUG
rnacentral:rRNA from 1 species